AUUGAACGCUGGCGGCAGGCCUAACACAUGCUAGUCGAGCGGUAACAGGGGAAGCUUGCUUCCCGCUGACGAGCGGCGGACGGGUGAGUAAUGUAUGGGGAUCUGCCCGAUAGAGGGGGAUAACCACUGGAAACGGUGGCUAAUACCGCAUAAUCUCUUAGGAGCAAAGCAGGGGAACUUCGGUCCUUGCGCUAUCGGAUGAACCCAUAUGGGAUUAGCUAGUAGGUGGGGUAAUGGCUCACCUAGGCGACGAUCCCUAGCUGGUCUGAGAGGAUGAUCA
rnacentral:rRNA from 1 species